rnacentral:rRNA from 1 species
ACGAACGCUGGCGGCGUGCUUAACACAUGCAAGUCGAACGGAAAGGCCCUGCUUUUGUGGGGUGCUCGAGUGGCGAACGGGUGAGUAACACGUGAGUAACCUGCCCUUGACUUUGGGAUAACUUCAGGAAACUGGGGCUAAUACCGGAUAGGAGCUCCUGCUGCAUGGUGGGGGGUUGGAAAGUUUCGGCGGUUGGGGAUGGACUCGCGGCUUAUCAGCUUGUUGGUGGGGUAGUGGCUUACCAAGGCUUUGACGGGUAGCCGGCCUGAGAGGGUGACCGGCCACAUUGGGACUGAGAUACGGCCCAGACUCCUACGGGAGGCAGCAGUGGGGAAUAUUGCACAAUGGGCGGAAGCCUGAUGCAGCAACGCCGCGUGCGGGAGGACGGCCUUCGGGUUGUAAACCGCUUUCGCCUGUGACGAAGCGUGAGUGACGGUAAUGGGUAAAGAAGCACCGGCUAACUACGU